rnacentral:rRNA from 1 species
AGUUGGGGUAGUACGCCGAGAAGGCGCGCAACCGGAACUACGACCAAUACGUUAUCACCAAAGGCACGUGGCGAGUAGAGAGUCGCGCCGCCGAAGCAGACACGCCGUCAACAACUCUGUGCAGUCAGCAGUAGAGGUCUCGCGUUCACGAGGUUCGGUGCACUCGGAGCUCGCGCUCCGGAACACGCAGAGUCCGCCCUCCGUACCGCCCCAAAAGGCGGCGGGGGGCGAGAUGUGUCAACAGACACUCCGACAAGCAUGCUCCCAGGCAUAUCCCGGAAGCGCAAGAUGCGUUCAAAGUUUUGAUGAUUCACUGGAUUCUGCAAGUCGCAAGACGUAUCGCAUUUCGCUGCGUUCUUCAUCGUUGUGGGAGCCAAGACAUCCGUCGCUGAAAGUUUUACAACGUUAAAGGUUGAGAAGGCGCUACGCAGGAAUGCGCCGCGCCUCCUUUUGAGUUCAGAUUCAGAGUUUGGUGUGGUUUGUGGGUGGCGCUUUGUUUCGAGCUCACGAAGAGCUCGGCGAGACGCAACUCGCCCGACAUCGCAUAACGAUUGUGGUUUCGCGGGGUUCUGCUGCUGUGUCUGAGAUAACCCCCCCCGCAGGCUUCCUUCCUCCGAGCCGCUCCGAUCCGCACUCCGCGAGCCCGGGCGCCAUUUUUACAUGGCAGCCGCACUCCUAGAGCCCGCACCGUUGCGUCCCGAAAGCUAUUCACCUGCGGCAA